GCUGACUUGGCCGAGUGGUUAUGGCGCUAGUUUUAAGUCGUUCUCUUAUACACUAGUAUCGAAAGAUGCGUAGGUUCGAACCCUGCAGUCAGCA